rnacentral:rRNA from 1 species
UCCCAGACUCCUACGGGAGGCAGCAGUGGGGAAUAUUGCACAAUGGGGGAAACCCUGAUGCAGCAACGCCGCGUGAGUGAAGAAGUCAUUCGUGAUGUAAAGCUCUAUCAGCAGGGAAGAAAAUGACGGUACCUGAGUAAGAAGCCCCGGCUAACUACGUGCCAGCAGCCGCGGUAAUACGUAGGGGGCGAGCGUUAUCCGGAUUCACUGGGUGUAAAGGGAGCGUAGACGGCCAUGCAAGCCAGGGGUGAAAGUCCGGGGCCCAACCCCGGGACUGCCCUUGGAACUGCAUGGCUGGAGUGCGGGAGGGGCAGGCGGAAUUCCUGGUGUAGCGGUGAAAUGCGUAGAUAUCAGGAGGAACACCGGCGGCGAAGGCGGCCUGCUGGACCGCGACUGACGUUGAGGCUCGAAAGCGUGGGGAGCGAACAGGAUUAGAUACCCGUGUAU